rnacentral:lncRNA from 1 species
UGGAGGCUGAUUGCAGGGUUGGUUGAUUGGUGGAGGCUGAUUGUAGGGUUGGUUGAUUGGUGGAGGCUAAUUGCAGGGUUGGUUGAUUGGUGGAGGCUGAUUAGUGGAGGCUGAUUGCAGGGCUGGUUGAUUGGUGGAGGCUGAUUGUAGGGUUGGUUGAUUGGUGGAGGCUGAUUGUAGGGUUGGUUGAUUGGUGGAGGCUGAUUGCAGGGUUGGCUGAUUGGUGGAGGCUGAUUGGUGGAGGCUGAUUGCAGGGUUGGUUGAUUGGUGGAGGCUGAUUAGUGGAGGCUGAUUGCAGGGUUGGUUGAUUGGUGGAGGCUGAUUGUAGGGUUGGUUGAUUGGUGGAGGCUGAUUGCAGGGUUGGCUGAUUGGUGGAGGCUGAUUGGUGGAGGCUGAUUGCAGGGUUGGUUGAUUGGUGGAGGCUGAUUGCAGGGUUGGUUGAUUGGUGGAGGCUGAUUGCAGGGUUUGGUUGAUUGGUGGAGGCUGAUUGCAGCGUUGGUUUCGGGCUGGACAGGAAACAGGAAUUCGGGAACGCGCCUAGAUGGGAUGCGCAGUCCCGGCUGGUUUUCCCAGAAUGGAGCAGUGAGCCCGUUACGGCGGUGAAAACCGUUCACUUCUGAACACCACAAGAUUGCCUUGAUUUGCGACACAUUUAAACCUACCAGUUUUACGUUGGAUUCCCGACGAAAACAUUCUGGAUUUGUGACAGUUGUUUCCUGCCAGACCUUAGUGGGCAGUGAGCUUGGCUGGCUAGCUAUACUACACCAAAGGUAAGAACUGUAGUAGUACUUUAUACAGCUCUUAUUCUGUACACACU